AACGCAUAUUGCACCUCUCUGGAGGUAUGCCUGUUUGAGAAUCUAUAGUAUCUUUUCCCCAGUUUGGGGGAGAUUUGGGGCGUCUCUUCUGAGUGCUCUUAAAGCUAUAGCUUGACACUGACCGGGUGCGAGAGCGUAUGUAUUUGAAACUCUUAGAGUACCCUAUACGAAACUCUGGCGCAAGCUCGGGCUGGGCCAAGUUCACCACGGAGGUUUGAAAAAGAACCCGAACCAUGGUCUCAAAUCAGGUAGGAGGACCCGCUGAACUUAA
rnacentral:misc_RNA from 1 species